CAGUCGCUGGAAGUCGCCUGAAAAAUCGCCUAAGUGGGACAGGCCCAUUUCCUGGAGCACACGUUUUACAGGCCCCAAGGAAAGUUGUUACCCGCUUACAUCAUCAUCUGGGGAGUGAGGUAUACGGGUAUGUGGACUCUCAAGUGUGGGCGGAAGACACAGCUCAGGUAGGAUGCUUGAACAUCAAUCCCAUCCAUGUAACUCUCCAAAAAGGGGUAACACUUCCUUCAAUUCAACAAUCCAUUAAAACUACAGGCCAUCAGCAGCAUUGACAAAUUAAUUCGGGGUUUGCCAGAACAAGGAAUAUUGGUGAAGUGCCAAUCAAUUUGUAACAGCCAUUCCAAAACCGGGAAAGGAGGGCCAAUAUAGACUCGUGCAAGACCUGAGGGAAAUCAAUUCUGUUUUGGAACCACUUCACGCCCUAGUGCCAAACCCUGCCCAUAUCCUAGCCCAAAUACCGGCUGAAGCAAAAGUCUUUUCGAUAGUCGACUUGCAACAUGCAUUCUUUUCUCUUCCUCUUCAUGAAGACAGCCAAUAUUUGUUUGCCUUCACAGAAUGGGGCAAACAAUACAUCUGGACCAGAUUGCCUCAAUGAUUUAUCAAUUUGCCUACUUUAUUUUCCAGGUGUCUGCAAGAUCAACUGAGUACCUUGAAGUUCAAAAUGAAUUCAACAUUAGUGCAGUAUGUCGAUGAUCUAUUAGUGGCCCACAAAAAUGAAUCCAGUAAACGGAAAGAUACUGCACAACUACUUAACCAUUUAGCUGAUCUAGGAUACGUGGUCUCACCAUCAAAUGUACUGGUAGCUCAGGAGAAAGUAAAAUUUCUAGGAAUUAUAAUUUCGGCCACUGAAAGAAGUCUUGAGUAGAGCAGACUCGAACCUAUCUGCGAAUUUCCAAUCCCAAGAGAAGCCAAACAAAUGAGACAAUGGCUGGGCAUGGUUAAUUGUUGCAGACCCUGGAUUCCAAAUACAGCUCUAGAAACUAAGGAGCUAACACCCUAUACCAGCAAGGAGGGCGAAUUUAAAUUAACAACGAAAGCACAGGAGGCCUUUGAAAACUGAAAAAGAUCAUUGAUGCAAGCCCCGGCAUUGGGAAGACCAUUAUACGAUCGUCCUUUCGAGCUGUUUUGUACAAUUCUAUCUGACUGUGCCACUUCGGUACUAACUCAAAAGCAUGGGGAUAAACAUAGACGUUGCAUAUUACUCCUCUAAAUUAGAUCCAGUAGCUAGGGGACAUCCUCUUUGCACUCAAAUCUUAACUACAAUCUACAAUAGUUUACAAUCAGCUGCUAAUUUGACACUCCAGCAGGAAAUUGUAGUGUAUAGUUCACAUUCAGUAUCGGCAUUGUUGGGGUAGCUUCAAACCUGGCAUUUAACAAUGGCCCGCCAAAAUAAGUAUGAGAUCUAUCUGUUGAACAAUCUGAUAUUGCAGUUCAAACAUUGUACAUUGAUUAACCCAGCCUCUUUUCUUAUUUCACCCCCAGAAGAGCAAUCAGAAGCAGGACAUGACUGUCUAUUUGUUAUAGAGGAAGAAGCAUUAGUGAGAGAGGACUUGAGGGAUGCACCCAUGGAGGACUCUGACAUCACAUUAUAUGUGGACGGGAGUGCAUCCAUUGGACCGUGGAGUGAGAGAUUGUAUGGGUUUUCUUAGAAAUUCUCCUCUCUACUACGAAUCAAGGACCAAUGAACUAUCAAGAUUGAUGGAUGGGAUUUGCGCCCACGAAAACUCGGGUAGUGAGCACUCAUCAGACAGAAAUCAUGGAGCUACACCCACGAAAACUCGGGAACUCAAUGAAAUUCUGAGAAGCUACACCAACAUCUUCUUGUUAGAACAUUUGUUAAAGUAUAGCAGCCAUCAUUGUAUUCUGAGGUUAUCAUUUAUGAUGAGGGUUAUCAUGAAUGAUAAAAUGGGGGAAUGUUAAUACUGGCCAAAUUAAAGACACUAUAAAAUGGAGAAUUUCUGCACUUGUCAGAAUUGCUUAACACUUGUCAGCUGAAAUUUACAGGCUUUGGAUGGCGCCAGCCAGUCUAGGCUCAGACUGGUAUGAAGGAUGGUGAGGGUUCCAGUAAUUCUCCUUGUUUCUCCUAAAUUGAUAAAAUGUAUAGC